rnacentral:rRNA from 1 species
GCUUGUCUCAAGGGCUAAGCCAUGCAUGUCUAAGUAGAAGCCCGCCUCUGGCGGGCGAGACCGCGAAUGGCUCCUUACAACAGUCCCAGUUUACUGGAUGAUCGUGGCCUAGUUGGAUAACUGUGGCAAUUCUAGAGCUAAUACAUGCCCCAGAGCUCCAACUCCCUUGCGGGGGGAGGAGCGCUUUUAUUAGCUUAAAGCCAAUCGGGUCCUUGUGGCCCGCUUAUUGGUGACUCAAACGAACUGGCCGAUCGCGCGGCGUGAAAGCGCCCGCGACUCGUCCUUCAAGCGUCUGCCUCAUCAGCUUGACGGUAGGUUACACGCCUACCAUGGCUGCAACGGGUAACGGGGAAUCGGGGUUCGAUUCCGGAGAGGGAGCCUGAGAAACGGCUACCACAUCCAAGGAAGGCAGCAGGCGCGCAAUUUACCCCCUCCCGGCACGGGGAGGUAGUGACGAGGCGUACCGCCGCGGGCCCCCGCGCGGGGCUACGUGGGCGGAAUGAGCACAUUUUAAGUCCUUUAGCGAGGACCCAUUGGAGGGCAAGUCUGGUGCCAGCAGCCGCGGGAACUCCAGCUCCGAUAGCGUAUGUUAACGCUGCUGCGGUUAAAGAGCUCGUCGCCGGAUGUCGGCCUCGGAGGGGCGGUUCGCCGGAGGGCGACACUUCCCCGUUCCGGGCGCAGUGGCGCGGCCAUGUCGGUUGGGUUUCGGGGCCCUCCGCCGCACUCGUCUCGCCUAACCGCGGACUUGUGUCGGUGGGGGUGUUCUUUCCGUGCCCUCUCCGCGCGGCGACAGCGCCGGUUUCCUUGAGAAAAUUGGAGUGCUCAGAGCAGGCUGCUCAGGCUCGUACAGGAGUGCAUGGAACUAGCCCAUCGGUCCCGGACUGUCUUUGUGUUGGCUUUAGAGUCCGGGUCCAGGGUCAAUGGGGACGGCCGGGGGCAUUGGUACUGCGACGUUAGAGGUGAAAUUCAGGGAUCGUCGCNNNNNNNNNNNNNNNNNNNNNNNNNNCCAAGAACGUUUCCGUUGGCCGAGAACGAAAGUCGGAGGCUCGAAGGCGAUCAGAUACCGCCCUAGUUCUAACCUUAAACGAUGCCGACCGGCGAUCCGCCGCAGGAGGCGCACAAUGGCGCCUCGGCGGGCAGCCCGCCCGGGAAACCCGAGUGUUCGGGCUCCGGGGGGAGUAUGGUCGCAAGGCCGAAACUUAAAGGAAUUGACGGAAGGGCACCACCAGGAGUGGAGCCUGCGGCCUAAUUUGACUCAACACGGGGAACCUCACCAGGUCCGGACCCCGGCAAGAUUGACAGGUUCACACGACACAGCCCUUUCUCGAUCCGGUGGGGGGUGGUGCAUGGCCGUUCGUGGUUCGUGGAGCGAUCUGUCUGGUUCAUUCCGGUAACGGGCGAGGCCCCGGCCUGCUUACUAGAGCGGGGCUCCCUGAUGGGCGCCCGCCUGCUCUUCUUAGCGGGACGGGUGGCGGGAAGCCGCACGAAGUCGGGGCAAGAACAGGUCCGUGAUGCCCUUAGAAGUCCUGGGCCGCACGCGCGCUACACUGACGGAGGCAGCGCGCUCCCUUCACCCAGUCCGAGAGGACUCGGGAACCGCUGAACCUCCGUUCGUGCUGGGGACUGGGGACUGCAACUGUCCCCACGAACGAGGAAUUCCUCGUAGGCGCGAGUCAUCAGCUCGCGUCGAUUACGUCCCUGUCCUUUGUACACACCGCCCGUCGCUACAUCCGAUCGAGCGAUCGAGCGAGGCUUUCGGACCGGGCCCGGCUCGUCCAUCUCGGACGAGUCGGAGUCCCUGGAAAGUUGUCCAAGCUGGAUGGCUCAGAGGAGGUAUAAGUCGUAACAAGGUUUCCGUAGGUGAACCUGCGGAAGGAUC